UACGUAGGGUGCAAGCGUUGCCCGGAUUUAUUGGGCGUAAAGGGCGCGUAGGUGGCGGGACAAGCGUGCGGUGAAAGCUCGGGGCUCAACCCCGAGUCGGCCGUGCGAACUGUUUUGCUUGAGCACUGUAGAGGCAGGCGGAAUUCCGGGUGUAGCGGUGGAAUGCGUAGAGAGUCGGAAGAACACCGGUGGCGAAGGCGGCCUGCUGGGCAGUAGCUGACACUGAGGCGCGACAGCGUGGGGAGCAAACAGGG
rnacentral:rRNA from 1 species